rnacentral:rRNA from 1 species
GACGAACGCUGGCGGCGUGCUUAACACAUGCAAGUCGAACGAUGAAGCCGGAGCUUGCUCUGGUGAAUUAGUGGCGAACGGGUGAGUAACACGUGAGUAACCUGCCCUUGACUCUGGGAUAACUGCUAGAAAUGGUAGCUAAUACCGGAUACGACCCUCGGAGGCAUCUCCAGGUGGUGGAAAGAAUUUCGGUCAAGGAUGGACUCGCGGCCUAGCAGCUAGUUGGUGAGGUAACGGCGCACCAAGGCGACGACGGGUAGCCGGCCUGAGAGGGUGACCGACCACACGGGGACUGAUACACGGCCCAGACUCCGACGGGAGGCAGCAGUGGGGAAUAUUGCACAAUGGGCGCAAGCCUGAUGCAGCAACGCCGCGUGAGGGAUGACGGCCUUCGGGUUGUAAACCUCUCUUAGUAGGGAAGAAGCGAAAGUGACGGUACCUGCAGAAAAAGCACCGGCUAACUACGUGCCAGCAGCCGCGGUAA